CAAUAGCGUAUAUUAAAGUUGUUGCAGUUAAAAAGCUCGUAGUUGGAUUUGUGGCGUACGGUGUGUUCCGGGCACUUGUUGUCUGAGUAACCUGCUGUUGCCAUCCUUGGGUGGAACCUGUGUGGCAUUAGGUUGUCGUGCAGGGGAUGCCCAUCAUUUACUGUGAAAAAAUUAGAGUGUUCAAAGCAGGCUUAUGCCGUUGAAUAUAUUAGCAUGGAAUAAUGAGAUAGGACUUUUUUGCUAUUUUGUUGGUUUGCGCAAAGAGGUAAUGAUUAAUGGGGACAGUUGGGGGUAUUCGUAUUCCAUUGUCAGAGGUGAAAUUCUUGGAUUUUUGGAAGACGAACUACUGCGAAAGCAUUUACCAAGGAUGUUUUCAUUAA
rnacentral:rRNA from 1 species